AAAAAGCAGCUAUUUUAAGGUAAUUACUAAGUUGUCACUAGUGUUAAGAAAAGUACAUUUAGGGUGCAAUUUUAGUGUGUAACCAACAGAGGGAGCAAAAGAGAAAGGGUGCAAUUUUAUUGUGUGGCCACCAGAGGGAGCAAAAGAGACAGGGAAACGCCCCAGAAAUCCUUCCAGAGGGGUGCGGCCCAAGGCUAUAAAAGGAGGGUGGGACCGAGGCCUGUGUUUAGAAUAGGAAAGAAGCCGACAGAAGUGCGCCACCUAGAAGACACCACCUGCAAACAAAUACAAUGGGCCAAAUCUACUGCUAAAAUAUAUAAAAGAUUUCACCUAGUCCAUAUACUGUAGCUGUGGAUGAACGGAGCUCUCCAUAUUAUGCUUUACGAGAUCGCCAAGGUAAUGCCAUCGUGGUCGCUGCCUGUGAUAUUGAUGGAAGUACCUGAAUUGACCUACCAUGUGGGGAGGUCUUCAAAGCCGCAAAAAGAGCUGAAGUCACGAAAAGACCCGAAGUUGAAGUCCUGAAGCCUUGAAAGGACCCAAAGCCAGGAAAGGAAGCGGCUGGGAGGAUUAUCUGCAAAGCUUCUGGAUAAUUUUUGGAGCAGCUGGAUUAUCUUCAAAACAAUUGGGAGGAUUAUCUUCAGAGAUGCAGGGAGGAUUAUUUUCCGAGCGGAUGGGAAAAAUUGUAUUCAGAAGGACUAAGAUGAUUCUCUGCAGAGCGUCUGGGAGGAGUGGUUGGAUUAUCUUCAGAAUGGUUGGAUUAUCUUCAGAGCGGCUAGGAGCAUUACUUUAAGAACAGCUGGAUUACCUUCAGAGCAGCUGGAUUAUCUUCAAUGGAUUAUCUGCAGAAAGAGCGCCACUGCCAACAUGCUGUUUUGACUGCAGAGGAAUAUGCAAAUAAGAAGCUGAAGAAAAGAGAAGGAUAUAGCAGAAGGGAUAGAAGAGAGA